CAUCGAUGGUGGAGCCUACUAUGCGAAUUAGAAAUGACAAAAAAGAUAAGAAGAUAAGCUUGUGUCCACAUGUUGUGAAAGAUAAUAAGGUAAGCUUUUGUCCACGUGUUGUGAAAUGACAAAAGAGAUAAGAAGAUAAGAUGGUGGGGCCUACUAUGCGAAUUAGAUUUUGUCCACAUGUUGUGAAAGUUUUUUUUACCCCCUGCUGACCUGCUACGUUGCUUACUGUCUACUGACCAUAGGCCAAGAGGAUAAGCUUCUUAUUACAUGGGCUUUAGGCGGAUUAUGCCUGCUAACUCGUUGGAGGGUCCUUUUUGUUUUUCCUUGUCAACCAUGUGAUGAUUGAUCCGAGGAAAAUCACGCGACAGGUUGCGGACUCACGCAGUUUUGCACUUUUGCCGAUCCCCUCGUCUCCCCAAUUGCCAAAUUCCUAACCCUACCAUACAACCAAUGCAAGAUGAGCGUCGAGCUGAUUGCCAGAAAUGACGAAAUUCCAUAUACCUUCACCUCUUGGCAAUCAGGCUUAAGCAACCAGCAAGACCAAAUCAGGCUUAAGCAACUAGCGAGAUCAAAAACUCAAGAUUGUCUACCCGUAAAUACACUGGUCGUAUUUGACCGGCCCCCUCUAUGUAGAAUUCCUGGC
rnacentral:lncRNA from 1 species